GAUGAACGCUGGCGGCGUGCCUAAUACAUGCAAGUCGAGCGAACAGACGAGGAGCUUGCUCCUUUGACGUUAGCGGCGGACGGGUGAGUAACACGUGGAUAACCUACCUAUAAGACUGGGAUAACUUCGGGAAACCGGAGCUAAUACCGGAUAACAUGUUGAACCGCAUGGUUCAACAGUGAAAGACGGUCUUGCUGUCACUUAUAGAUGGAUCUGCGCCGCAUUAGCUAGUUGGUAAGGUAACGGCUUACCAAGGCAACGAUGCGUAGCCGACCUGAGAGGGUGAUCGGCCACACUGGAACUGAGACACGGUCCAGACUCCUACGGGAGGCAGCAGUAGGGAAUCUUCCGCAAUGGGCGAAAGCCUGACGGAGCAACGCCGCGUGAGUGAAGAAGGUCUUCGGAUCGUAAAACUCUGUUAUUAGGGAAGAACAAAUGUGUAAGUAACUAUGCACGUCUUGACGGUACCUAAUCAGAAAGCCACGGCUAACUACGUG
rnacentral:rRNA from 1 species